rfam:Bacillus hemicellulosilyticus JCM 9152 DNA, contig:contig_17.
AAACAACUACAACCGCACAGAAUAGGUUUUUCAAAGGGAUUACCCUACCUAGGAUGGCGAGUCUGAGUCUAUGA